rnacentral:rRNA from 1 species
UACAGAGGGUGCGAGCGUUAAUCGGAAUUACUGGGCGUAAAGCGUGCGUAGACGGUUAUUUAAGUCGGGUGUGAAAGCCCCGGGCUCAACCUGGGAAUUGCAUUCGAGACUGAAUAGCUAGGGUACGGUAGAGGGAAGCGGAAUUUCCGGUGUAGCGGUGAAAUGCGUAGAUAUCGGAAGGAACAUCAGUGGCGAAGGCGGCAUCCUGGACCAAUUCUGACGCUGAGGAGCGAAAGCCAGGGGAGCAAACGGG